rnacentral:rRNA from 1 species
CCUACGGGAGGCAGCAGUGGGGAAUAUUGGACAAUGGGGGGAACCCUGAUCCAGCCAUGCCGCGUGUGUGAAGAAGGCCUUAUGGUUGUAAAGCACUUUAAGCGAGGAGGAGGCUCUUCUAGUUAAUACCUAGGAUGAGUGGACGUUACUCGCAGAAUAAGCACCGGCUAACUCUGUGCCAGCAGCCGCGGUAAUACAGAGGGUGCGAGCGUUAAUCGGAUUUACUGGGCGUAAAGCGUGCGUAGGCGGCUUUUAAGUCGGAUGUGAAAUCCCCGAGCUUAACUUGGGAAUUGCAUUCGAUACUGGGAAGCUAGAGUAUGGGAGAGGAUGGUAGAAUUCCAGGUGUAGCGGUGAAAUGCGUAGAGAUCUGGAGGAAUACCGAUGGCGAAGGCAGCCAUCUGGCCUAAUACUGACGCUGAGGUACGAAAGCAUGGGGAGCAAACAGGAUUAGAUACCCUGGUAGUCCAUGCCGUAAACGAUGUCUACUAGCCGUUGGGGCCUUUGAAGCUUUAGUGCGCAGCUAACGCGAUAAGUGACCGCCUGGGGAGUACGGUCGCAAAGACUAAAACUCAAAAGGAAUUGACGG